GUUUCUUUCCCUUGGUACAGUGUUUUUGAGAUUCAUGUAUGUGAUAGCAUGUAUCAGUAUUCCAUUCUUUUUCAUUGUUGAAUAGUAUUCCACUGUAUGGAUAUACCACAUGUUUUCUAUCUAUUGACAAAAUGAUGGACAUUUAGAUCAUUGUAGCUUUUAGUUAUCAUGAAUAAUGUUGAUAUGAGUGUUCACCUACAAAUAUUUAUGUGAACAUGUGUUUUUGAAUCUUUUAGAUAAAUAUUUAGGAGGAAAAUCAUUAGGCUGCUUAAUAAACUUAUUUUUAACUUUUAAAGAAACUAAUGAACUGUUUUCAUGAGGGAUGACACAAUUCCCACAAAUGAUAUAUAAAGAUUCUAGUCUCCAUAUUCUUGCUAAUGCUUGGUGUUGUCUACCUUUUUUAUUGUAGCAGUCACAUGGGCAUAUAAAGUCACCUUGUUGGGUGUGGUUUUCUAUGGCUUCCACUCCACCCCCUCAUCAACACUAUUAGUCAGGAUAGGCUAGGUUAUGCUGUGGUAACCAGCAACCUCCAAGCCUCAGUGAGUUCAAACCACACAUGCUGCAUGGCUAAUGAUGACUAGAAAUGGUAAGGAGAAGGAGUGCUCUUCAAUGGCACCCAGGGACCCAGGCUGAUGGGAAGUUCUGGAGGAGGAAAAGGCAGACUGCUGUGGUUUUAACAUCAUUGCCAAUGCUCAUGGUGAAAUUUAAUUUCCUUUGUAACAGAGGUUGCACCUUUGAGAGGUGGGAUCUUUAAGAGAUGAUUAGGACAAAAAGGCACUACCCUUGCCAAUGGAUUAAGCCUUUUAUUGUAGGAGUGAGUUUGUUAUUAGUGGACUCUUGGUGAAAGGAUGAGUUUGGUCUGCUUUCUCUACUUGCCUUUCUUCCAUGUUACAAUGCAGCACAAAAGCUCUGGCCAGACACUGAUGCCAUUCUCUUCUUAGUCUCCAGAACUGUGAGAAUUUUUUUUCUUCUUAUAAGUUACCUAGCAUGUAAUAUUCUGUUAUAGCAAUGGAACAUGGGCUAAGACACAGACCACACCAGUUCUCAAAGCUUCUGCCUGACAGUGACAAAGUAACUUUUAUUCCUAUUUCACUAGCUGGCAUUUCACAUGGUCACCAUUAACUUCAAAAGUUGGCAAAAAGGGCUGGGCCUGUGGCUCAGUGGUAGUUCACUUGCCUGGCAUGUGUGAGACACUGGGUUCAAUUUUCAGCACAUAAAAGUAAAUAAAUAAAAUAAAGGUCUACCAACAAUGAAAAAAAAUAAAAAAGUGAGUGAAAAAUAGAAUUAUUAUUUUAUCAAGAGGGAAAGGUUAAUUGGAAUAUUUGUGAAAAGCUAAUGCAUUUCAUAAAUGCUGAGGAAGAUAGUCUCAGCUUUCUACAGAACUAGGAAUCCAAAGCCCAGAGCUGAAGGGCCUUGAGGAAGAAACUGCUAAUAUUUCAAGCAGAAGCAAUCUACCACCCAAGCCUGCAUGUGUGUGUGUGUGUGUGUGCGUGUGUGUGUGUUUGUGUGUGUGUGUUUGUGUGUGUGUGUUUGUGAGGGUACCAGGGAUUGAAUUCAGGGCAGUCGGCCACUGAGCUACAUCCCCAGCCCUUUUUUGUAUUUUGUUUAGAGACGGUCUCCCUGAGUUGCUUAGCACCUGGCUGUUGCUGAGGCUGGCUUUGAACUCAUGAUCCUCCUGCCUCAGUCUCAAGAUGCUGGGAUUACAGGUGUGCACCAUGUUGCUUGCAUUCUUAUUAACUACAUUGACACUUUCACUGAGAUACUGUUUGCUACAGAGUUUUUAAACAUCCCCACUGAGGAGUAGAACACACACACACACACAAACAACUUUGGCACAUGGCUUUACUCAGUCCCACAAUGAGAUUGAGCUCACAUCUAGAGAGCCAUGUCAUGGUGUCUAAAUACUGACUCUGCCUGCCUGCUUCAAACUAGGGUCCAUGUAAUCAUCUCCAUAGAGAUAUAGAAGACCCCUGGUCCUGUCACCACCUUUAUAGAUAAAGAUCAUAUCCUUUUACUACCCGUCCCUACAUACACAGUGCUUUUGCUCUCAUAAAACUCCAGAACAAAUUCCCAACAGAGAACACCCUGAAUACUUGAAGUGGGUCAAAUAAAUAUUUUAAUUAAAAGCCAUCAAAGACCAGGAGAGGGACUUUAUUGUAAAUAGGGAAGAGCAGCACGUAACUUCAAGCUGACUUGGUGCCCCUAGGAGAGUAGAGCCAUAGAUUUCUAGGUCUCCGUGCUGAGAGCUGCAUCAUAGUCAGGUGUGCAAUGCAUUCUCCAGGCCUGGACUGGGCUCUGUCGGCUGGCUUUGAAACCUUGUACAGCUGACUCCUCUAAGCCUUAGUUCUCUCCUUGGUAAAUGUUAAUAAUAGGAGGAUCUAUUGGACUUAGGAUUGAAUAAAGAAAUAUGUGAAAGUCCUUAGCAGGGCUCCCGGAGCUUGGGGAGUGGUCAUGUUAACCAGUUGUACCAUUGAUGUCAUCAUAACAUAUUCAGGUAGCUGAAAACAGAAGUCUCCAGAUUUGGUGUUCAGGGACUUGUUGGUCUUGGAAUCAUUCUAGGUUGAAAUUACCCUGGGAUGACUGUCUCCAUUUCUGAUUAUGCCUAUUUUUGUCAACACUAGUCCAGGACAAUUUGUGAUAAGUUAAAGGAAAGGAAAAAAAUCAAGGAGAUGUUGAAGAGAAUAGAAAGAUGUUGAAGAGUGCUGAUGACUCCCUCAAGGGGGGAGGAAGUGUCCAGUGGGGGAAGAACAUGGCUGUGCCUUUCUUACUACCUCUGGGGCCCUGAGCAGAUCAUGUUGCCUCUCUGGCCCUCAGGGUAGGAGACCAUAAGCAGUGGAACUUUAGUUUUGCCUGUGGUGUCACUUUAAAGUUUCAAUGGGGUGAGUCCUUAUCCCCACAUUGGAUAAGAACUUCAGGCUGGCACCAGAACAUUCCUUCUCACUCAUAAUUUUAAACACUCCUUUUAUUACUAAGUCCCACAGUUAGUCUCUUUUCUAAAAUUGGAAUGUCCUACCUAACACACUAACCUAUACUUCAGACUUUCUUGAAGAGAGCCUUCUUCAUAUUCCGCCAUGUGGUCCACUGUAGAGAGUUGCUAAUCUUCUGGGAAGAGGAAAAUAGAUGCCAUCUCCCCCCACAUGUGCACAUGGAGCUGGAAACAGGGAGAGGUAGG
rnacentral:lncRNA from 1 species